rnacentral:lncRNA from 10 species
GGAAGAUUAAAUAAAAUGCAUGUAAAGCACUUAGGUCAGUACCUUACUCUUAAGGCACUCUUAAGGGUUUGAGAAGGAAGGGAGGGACGUUAAGUGGAAUGGUCCUUGGUACAUUUUUGUUCCGCGGCAGUAGGAUUCUGAAACAGAGGACAUAAUUACAAAGAAAGUUGGAGUAAGAAGUGGUGGUGCGGGCAUCACAUUUUCCUGCCACAGCCCCGGCUGGAACGGUCACUUACUGGAAACUGCAGAGAAACAACCUGUUUGGUCCGACUUGACAACCUCAACCGGACCGAAGGUGCUGAACAACCAGUGCGGCGAGCGCCGCGAAACCCAACGCCCGACCGCGUAGGGAACGUCACAGCGCGCGCACGCGCAACAGUCGACUAGAAAUGUCCGGCCUACGCCACAGAGCGGGGCGGGAGCGGAAGCGACUCUUCCGGUCGCGGGAGCCUUAGGGAUAACAUCACUAUUAUAAAACCUACGAUUGGUGCUCAAGGUAUUUUCAGACCCCUCCCUGGAUGGAUCAGCUGCUCCCACCCAGACUGAUGGUCUUGUGGCUUCCACUCAGGAACUGACUCAGCACAAGAGGACAGCUUUGACUCCCCAUUCCUGGGGGACCAGUCAGCACUCCCCACUACCUGCCCCCCAUCCAUGAGAUUAUCCUUAAAAACCCCAGUCUCCGAAUUUUCAGGGAGACUGAUCUGAGCAAUAAUAAAACGGCAGUCUCCUGUACAACCAGCUGUGUGAAUUAAACUCUUUCUCUGUUACAAUUCCUUUGUCUUGAUAAAUCGGCUCUAUUUGGGCAGUGGGCAAAAUGAACCUGAUGGGCAGUUACUAAGGGUGAAGUGUGGGAGUAGGGUUACAGAUUAAAGGAUAGUUUAGGAAGGCAUCCCAGAGGUGAGGCCAAAGCAGAAUCUUGAAGGGCAAGAAUUAUCCAGGCAAAGAAGGUAAGGAUAGAGAAGAGUAUUCAGGCCAGGCAUGGUGGCUCACGCCUGUAAUCAUAGCUCUUUGGGAGGCUGAGGUGGGCAGGUCACGAGCCUGGAAGUUUAAGACCAGCCUGGGCAACACGGUGAAACUCCAUCUCUACAGAAAAUACAAAAAAAUUAGCCGGGCAUGGUGUUGCAUGCCUGUAGUCCCAUCUACUUGGGAGGCAGAGGUGGAAGGAUCACCUGAACCCAGGGAGGUCAAGGCUGCAGUGAGCUGUAAUUGCGCCACUGGACUGCAGCCUGGGUGACAGAGUAAGACCCUAUCUCAAAAAAAAGAGUAUUCCAGAUAGACAUAUAGCACAAGCUCAGACAAAUAUCAGAUAGCUUGGGGUGGUGUUGCUAAAUGCAAAGUAGAAAUGUCAGGAGGUGAGGCCGGAAAGGUACAAGUGGCAUGGAGGGCCUUGUAUGGCACUCCAUGAGGCUGGGCUUUUUCCUAUGGGCUAUGAAGCCACAGUGUGGGUGGGGUGGGAGUCAUAUUCAGAUUUUCAUUUGAGACGGAUCAUCAGGUGACACUGUAGAGGUUGGAUUUCAAAGAGGCACAACUAAAAAUAGGAAGAAUAGUUGUAAGUUAAAAAAUAAUGUAGGCCUGAAACAGGACAGUAGUACUGAGGAGGGGUAAGUAGUAGGAAUACUUUUAAAGAAAUUAUUUGGAGAUCAAAUUGGCAGUGCAGGGUGGGUUACUGGAUAGGGAAGAUGAGGGAGGAAUCUAAAAUAGUGUCCAAACUUUUGGCUCGGACAAUGAUGUCAUUUAGGUAGAAAAAAUUGAGGAGUAAUAGGUUGGCAGUAGUGGGGAAGGUAGGAAGAUUUCCAGUUCCGUAUGGUGAAGUGGUUCUUAAAGUCCCUAUGGGAUUCCUGAAUUUAGAUGUUCAGCAGGUACUCAGAUCAGCUUAUGGCAAAGGCCAGGGUCAGAGAUACAGACUUGAGGAGAGAGCAGCAUGGGGGUGAGAGUGUGUUCAGAAGGGCUGUGGGAGUGCUCUGGGAGUGGCUGCUGUUCCGAGGCUGGCAUUUGGCCCUGUUGACAUUCUUUUCUCUUCCCACCUUCCUUGGUGUUUCUCUUACCUCUGAUCAUUCCUUCUCCAAAUGCUUUACAGGCUCGUCUUCCUCUUCCCAUAGAAUGUGUUAUUCCUGUGUGAUUUCACCACCUGGGACCCCUACUGUGCCUCCAUCAAACCUUUAUCUCCAGCUCAGAAUUCUUAUAUAAGAUUGAGACGUAUGUCUCCAACUGCUUUCUAAGAGAAAAGAGGUAGUCAGUAGCGUGGACUGAUUAUCCAGGGACCACACAAAGGGUUUGUACUUCACUGUCCUAUUGUAUUCAGGACUGGCACUGUGAAUUGAUCCUGGCUGUGACUAUCUCUUGUUUUCUCUGAAAAUACCAAAUGUGGAAAUCAGGAGUCAGAUUUCAGACUUGUUAAUAAGCAUUAUUAACACACACACCCCCACUAUAAUCCUUCUGUAACUUAUUAACUUCCCCUUUAUGCUUAGUGUAUUGUUAUCUUUUCAUCAGGAACCAAAAUUAACCCAAAAUGGAAAUAAAAAUUUAAAUCUUAUUGAUACAGAAGAAAAAUUAC